rnacentral:rRNA from 1 species
UAAUACGGAGGAUCCAAGCGUUAUCCGGAAUCAUUGGGUUUAAAGGGUCCGUAGGCGGCCCGGUAAGUCAGUGGUGAAAUCUCACGGCUCAACCGUGAAAUUGCCAUUGAUACUGCCGGGCUUGAAUUACUAGGAAGUAACUAGAAUAUGUAGUGUAGCGGUGAAAUGCUUAGAGAUUACAUGGAAUACCGAUUGCGAAGGCAGGUUACUACUAGUGGAUUGACGCUGAUGGACGAAAGCGUGGGUAGCGAACAGGAUUAGAUACCCUGGUAGUCCACGCCGUAAACGAUGGAUACUAGCUGUUGGGAGCAAUCUCAGUGGCUAAGCGAAAGUGAUAAGUAUCCCACCUGGGGAGUACGAACGCAAGUUUG